GUCCCCUUCGUCUAGAGGCCUAGGACACCGUUUCACGGCGGUAACAGGGGUUCGAAUCCCCUAGGGGACGCCA
rnacentral:tRNA from 1 species